GGGCAGGUACCAUUCUUCCUCACCUCAGUGAGACGAGCGCCGAGCUUAGUUGCAAGGACGUGACUAAGGGGCAUCAAUUCUGGGGUCUCAUCUGUGGCAUAGCCAAACAUGUGACCCUGGUCACCAGCACCAAUUUCCUCAGGUCGCUUAGUGAAAUGGCCAUGGACACCUUGGGCAAUAUCCGGGCUCUGCUGCUCGAUGUUGACUAAGACCUUGCAGUUAUCUGCAUCUAGACCCACAUCAUCCGAGAUGAAUCCGAUGGAACGGCAAGUGUCUCGGACGAUCUUUUCAUAGUCCACGUCCGCCUUGGUUGUAAUCUCUCCAAAAACCAUAACCAUGUUGGUUUUGGUGCAGGUCUCACAAGCAACCUUGCUAUCAGGAUCUUGGGCAAGGCAAGCAUCAAGAACUGCAUCUGAGAUCUGGUCACAG
rnacentral:misc_RNA from 1 species